AAGACCUUGCACUUUUGGAGCGGCCGAUGUCUGAUUAGCUAGUUGGUGGGGUAAUGGCCUACCAAAGCUUCGAUCAGUAGCUGGUCUGAGAGGACGGCCAGCCACACUGGGACUGAGACACGGCCCAGACUCCUACGGGAGGCAGCAGUGGGGAAUUUUGGACAAUGGGCGCAAGCCUGAUCCAGCCAUGCCGCGUGAGUGAAGAAGGCCUUCGGGUUGUAAAGCUCUUUCAGCCGGGAAGAAAAGGUUGCGACUAAUAAUCGCAAUCCAUGACGGUACCGAAAGAAGAAGCACCGGCUAACUACGUGCCAGCAGCCGCGGUAAUACGUAGGGUGCGAGCGUUAAUCGGAAUUACUGGGCGUAAAGGGUGCGCAGGCGGUUUUGUAAGUCAGAUGUGAAAUCUCCGGGCUUAACCUGGGAACU
rnacentral:rRNA from 1 species